GGAAGAGAAAAAGACCGGUCUCUGUUUGGAAAUUACAAACAUAGAAGAACUUAGAAACAAUGGGUUUCUAGAUUGGGUGGAAGGACUGGCUUGGGAUCCUGAGAGAGCAAGAAAAGUUUACCGGGAGCUUCAGAAAAAGUUAUUCAUCAUUUUUGGAGUGGAUAUUCAGAAGUGACUUCCCUCUUUUGCUCUGGUAGGUAUGGAUAUGAGACCUCAGAAACCCCAGAACUCCUCAUUCUUUGCCUGACAGAAAAGCCCACACAUGGGAAAGACAGCCAUAAAGAUCAAAAGUAGAGCCCCUGGACUAAAUUAAGAAAGCAACUUGCUCAACCUUUCCACAUCUAGUUCCGUGAGCAAUCCAUUUCCUCAUGUCCAAAACAGCUUGACUGGGGGUUUCGGUUACUUACAGCCCAAAGCACACCAACUGGUAUGGUCAUCAGAAUUUAAGGCUUUUAAGUACUUAAAAUUCUGAUUUUAAGGAUGUUUAAAUCAGAAAGUACCACUGGAAGGUUCAUACUAAUUUAUUCUCCUACAAGCAAGCAGUACAGUUUCUUGAAAAAUAUACUGAAGUUUAUUUUGGACUGCAUGAAAAUAAAUUUAUUAUCAAAA